GGAUACAGAGGUUUGUUCAUAGGAAACCAUAAGCAACACUUAGCAUCGGCUGACAGAAGGGCCAAACUGCCCCAGGCUAAGCUGUGCGUUUUUUGGAGCCUACCACAUUGCCUACCCGACGGUCCACCAGGCCCAGGACUGAACAGUAUCCUCUGCGGAGAAAGCAGCUGUGGAAACAGACAUUGAGGAAGCUGUAUCUUCUGGAUGUUCCACUGACUUUUAAGUAUGGAAGUGACCAGUGCUCCUGUAAAGACAUGGACAAAAGGACUACAUGACGUUUCUUGAAAACAAAUACUAGUUUUCUCCAAAGUGGGAAUUUACACUAUGAUGGGCCUGUAUCAUUUACUCAUUUAGAGGUUUGUAUGCAGUGUUGCUCAGAAACAAAACCAGGAGAUGUCAGGAGAAGACAGACAAGAGCACAAAAGCCCAGGAAUAACUGGCACUCAUCACAAAUUCAGGUUAUCAAGAAAAGGCAAGAGGAAAACUUGUUCUGAGAUCAGAUAAGACAGCUUGGGACAGGACGACAACGCUCUAUGACAGCAGAGUAACACCCAGGCUUUUGAAACCUUGGGUAUGGUUGAUUUCCCUGAGGUUUUCUCUGAGUAGCCAGUCACCGUGCUCAGUUUGUGGCCCCGGAUCUGCCUGGCACUGUGGAUAUAAACAUGGUAUUUUUCCUGAAGGCAUUUGGACAUUUUCCCUGUGUGUUUCUAACAAUACUCUAGCCACUCACAUGAAUCUAACAAGUGUGGAUUUAUCUAAAUCUUUCUUUAUCCUAUUUAUAUUUGUGGACUAUGCAACAUCUUGAGGAUAAUGAGUUCCAUAUGUUUACUACCCACUGUAUGAAGAAAUGCCAUCUUUUAUUUAUCGUCAAACUACUUUCAUGGAAUUUCAAUGGGUGCUCUGAGUUUUAGCACUCUAGGAUUUGCGUGUGGCCACACUUUACAGCUACAGCCCACCCACAUAAGCAUUUAUGUAGAGCCCUCAUCCAGUGGCUGAUGGAAGCAGAGGCAAACAUCCACAGAUAUACUCUGAACUGAACUCUGGAACCCAGUUGCAGAAAGGGAGGAAUGAAGAACAAAGGGGUUGGUACCAGGCUGGUGAAAGCCACAGAACCAGCUGGACUGAACAAGGGAGAGCACAUGGACCCCAGAUUGCUGUCUGGGAGACCAGCACAGGACUGAAUUAGACCCCUGAACAUGGAUGUCAAUGAGGAGGCCUCCACACUCUAGGGGGGCCCUGGUAGUGGAUUGGCAUUUUCCCUGGUGUAAGAAGGGACUUUGAGAGUCCAUUCUACAUGAAGGGAUGCACUCUUGGCCUGGACACAUGGGGAAGGGCCUAGGCCUGGGCCACGAUGAUGUGGUGGACUUUGGGGAGCCUACCCUGCCUGGGGAGUGGAGGAUGGAUGGGUUGGGAGGGUAGGUGAGGGGUUGAGGGGGAGGGAUAGGGGGAGUGGAGGGGGAAGGGAUUGACAUGUGAGGCAAGCUUGUUCCUAAUUUGAACUAAAAAUUUUUAAAAUUAAAAAAUAAAAUAAAAAGAUUGGACUGUAGGCAAGUCUAUAGGAUAUUUUCUUAACCAGUGGUUGAUAGGGAGGGCCCAGCUCAUGAUGGGUGGUGCCAUCCUUGGACUGGUGUUUCUGAGUUCUAUAAGAAAGAAGGUCGAGCAAGCCAUGAGAAGUAAGUCAGUAAUCAGCACUCCUCCAUGGCCUCUGCAUCAGCUCCUGCCUACAGGUUCCUGCCCUGUUUGAGAUCCUGUCCUGACUUCCUUCAAUGAUGG
ensembl:lncRNA